rnacentral:rRNA from 1 species
UACGUUCCCGGGCCUUGUACACGCCGCCCGUCACACCAUGGGAGCGGGUUUUACCAGAAGUAGGUAGGCUAACCGCAAGGGGGCCGCUUACCACGGUAGGAUUCGUGACUGGGGUG